rnacentral:rRNA from 1 species
UUUACUGACGCUAAAGCUCGAAGGUGCGGGUAUCGAACAGGAUUAGAUACCCUGGUAGUCCGCACGGUAAACGAUGGAUGCCCGCUGUUUGCGAUAUACUGUGAGCGGCCAAGAGAAAUCGUUAAGCAUCCCACCUGGGGAGUACGCCGGCAACGGUGAAACUCAAAGGAAUUGACGGGGGCCCGCACAAGCGGAGGAACAUGUGGUUUAAUUCGAUGAUACGCGAGGAACCUUACCCGGGCUUGAACUGCAGGAGAACGAUACAGAGAUGUUGAGGCCCUUCGGGGCUCCUGUGGAGGUGCUGCAUGGUUGUCGUCAGCUCGUGCCGUGAGGUGUCGGCUUAAGUGCCAUAACGAGCGCAACCCUUUUCAUUAGUUGCCAUCAGGUAAUGCUGGGCACUCUGGUGAUACUGCCACCGUAAGGUGUGAGGAAGGUGGGGAUGACGUCAAAUCAGCACGGCCCUUACGUCCGGGGCUACACACGUGUUACAAUGGGGGGUACAGAAGGCGGGAUCAAUGCAAAUUGGUUCAAAUCUUAAAAGCCCUCCUCAGUUCGGAUUGGGGUCUGCAACCCGACCCCAUGAAGCUGGAUUCGCUAGUAA